GACGAACGCUGGCGGCGUGCUUAACACAUGCAAGUCGAACGGAAAGGCCCUGCUUUUGUGGGGUGCUCGAGUGGCGAACGGGUGAGUAACACGUGAGUAACCUGCCCUUGACUUUGGGAUAACUUCAGGAAACUGGGGCUAAUACCGGAUAGGAGCUCCUGCUGCAUGGUGGGGGUUGGAAAGUUUCGGCGGUUGGGGAUGGACUCGCGGCUUAUCAGCUUGUUGGUGGGGUAGUGGCUUACCAAGGCUUUGACGGGUAGCCGGCCUGAGAGGGUGACCGGCCACAUUGGGACUGAGAUACAGCCCAGACUCCUACGGGAGGCAGUAGUGGGGAAUAUUGCACAAUGGGCGGAAGCCUGAUGCAGCAACGCCGCGUGCGGGAUGACGGCCUUCGGGUUGUAAACCGCUUUCGCCUGUGACGAAGCGUGAGUGACGGUAAUGGGUAAAGAAGCACCGGCUAACUACGUG
rnacentral:rRNA from 1 species